GAGUUUGAUCGUGGCUCAGAAUGAACGUUGGCGGCGUGGAUUAGGCAUGCAAGUCGCGCGAGAAACGUAGCAAUACGUGGAAAGCGGCGUAAGGGAGAGUAAUCCAUGGUUAGCUACCCUCGGGACUGGGAUAGCGGCGGGAAACUGCCGGUAAUACCAGAUGACAUCUUCGGAUCAAAGGUGUGAAUCCGCCCGGGGAGGCGACCAUGUCCUAUCAGCUAGUUGGCGGUGUAACGGACCACCAAGGCUAAAACGGGUAUGGGGCGUGAGAGCGUGCCCCCACUCACUGGGACUGAGACACUGCCCAGACACCUACGGGUGGCUGCAGUCGAGAAUCUUCGGCAAUGGGCGCAAGCCUGACCGAGCGACGCCGCGUGCGGGAUGAAGGCCUUCGGUUGUAACCGCUGUCGUAGGGAGGAAGCGACCGUGAAGAACGGAAGUUGACCGAUCCUAGGAGGAAGGGCCGGCGUAAUCUCGUGCCAGCCGCCGCU
rnacentral:rRNA from 1 species